rnacentral:rRNA from 1 species
UACGGGGGAUGCAAGCGUUAUCCGGAAUCAUUGGGCGUAAAGCGCCUGUAGGUUGUUUAAUAAGUCUGUUGUUAAAGACUGGGGCUUAACCCCAGGAAAGCAAUGGAAACUACUAGACUAGAGUAUGGUAGGGGUAAAGGGAAUUUCUAGUGUAGCGGUGAAAUGCGUAGAUAUUAGAAAGAACACCGGUGGCGAAAGCGCUUUACUGGACCAUUACUGACACUCAGAGGCGAAAGCUAGGGUAGCCAAAGGGAUUAGAUACCCCUGUAGUCCUAGCCGUAAACGAUGGAUACUAGAUGUUGCGCUUAUUGUGCAGUGUCGUAGCUAACGCGUUAAGUAUCCCGCCUGGGGAGUACGAUCGCAAGGUUG